rnacentral:rRNA from 1 species
UACGGAGGGAGCUAGCGUUGUUCGGAAUUACUGGGCGUAAAGCGCGCGUAGGCGGCUGUUCAAGUCAGAGGUGAAAGCCCGGGGCUCAACCCCGGAACUGCCUUUGAAACUAGAUAGCUAGAAUCAUGGAGAGGUCAGUGGAAUUCCGAGUGUAGAGGUGAGAUUCGUAGAUAUUCGGAAGAACACCAGUGGCGAAGGCGACUGACUGGACAUGUAUUGACGCUGAGGUGCGAAAGCGUGGGGAGCAAACAGG